rnacentral:rRNA from 1 species
UACAGAGGGUGCGAGCGUUAAUCGGAAUUACUGGGCGUAAAGCGCACGUAGUCGGCUUUGCAAGUCGGGUGUGAAAUCCCCCGGGCUCAACCUGGGAACUGCAUCCGAGACUGCAUUGCUAGAGUAUGGGAGAGGGAAGCGGAAUUUUCUGGUGUAGCAGUGAAAUGCGUAGAUAUCAGGAGGAACACCAAUUGCGAAGGCAGCUCGCUGGGACGUAACUGACGCUGGAGACGCGAAAGCGUGGGAGCAAACAGG